rfam:Arthrospira platensis NIES-39 DNA, nearly complete genome.
AGGAGCCGUGUGCUGGGAAACUCGCAAGCACGGUUUGGAAUUGGAGUUGGGGAAGGUGACUUCUCUUUCGACCAUAAC